rnacentral:lncRNA from 1 species
UACUCCCCAUGCACUCUAUCUGAGCACAUUAUUUAAGGAUGCAGUCCAGAAAACGAGGGAGUAAACCAUGUGAAAGGAAGAUAUGGGUUUUAAGACACGGGCUCCAACCCAAGAGCCCAGUGAGGAGAAGGUCCAGGUACAGCUGUAUAUGCAACCUUAAAUCAAAGAGCAGAUACUUGCCCAGAUUGCAGAAGGGCAGAGGCCUUCC